rnacentral:rRNA from 1 species
GACGAACGCUGGCGGCGUGCCUAAUACAUGCAAGUCGAACGCAGUGGGGACGGGUGAGUAACACGUGGGUAACCUCCCAUCAGAGGGGAUAACACUUGGAAACAGGUGCUAAACCGAUACUGAUGGAUGGACCCGCGGUGCAUGAGCUAGUUGGUGAGGUAACGGCUCACCAAGGCCACGCUGCAUAGCCGACCUAGUAUGAUAAUCGUCCACACGGGGACUGAGACGCGGCCCGUACUCCUAAGUGAGGCACAAGUAGUGAAUAUUCGGCAAUGGACGAAAGUCGGACCGAGCAACGCAGCGGGAGUGAAGAAGGUUUUCGGAUCGUAAAACUCUGUUGUUAGAGAAGCGGUAUCUAACCAGAAAGCCACGGCUAACUACGUGCCAGCAGCCGCGGUAAUUC